AACAGGCUGCUUCCUUGUUCUCUGAGGAAACAUUCAGAAGUCCCUGAGAAUUAUGGCACUCGAUGACCCAGCCAGUGUCUAUACACACACUUCAUCUACUUGAUCUCAUUGGUUCUUUGUAGUCUAGCAUGUGGUAACUCCUUGGAGUCUCACUUGGGCAGAGUCAUAGUCUUAGUAGCACCUGAUAAAACAUUUGUUAUUUUUGCAAUGAAUACAAAACUAUUUUGUUGGGAAUGCUCAAUAAGGUUGUACUUUUCUUAUAACAGAAUACAAGUUAAAUUGUUUACUUAUUUUACUAUACAGUAAAGUAGUGAAGUAUUGGAGUGUGCUGAUAUGUAAUCAAGUGUGUUCUCUGCAGAUCCUGGCCUAUUUCUUGAAAUGAGGAAAAGCUUGACAAAAAUAUCUGUUUGCUCACAGGUUAUGGAUAGAAACUGAGCAAGUUGGCACUUUUACUUAGGGGCUGGGAGAUAAAAAGAAGUGGAAAGUUCUACAUAUUCAUGGAUUGUAGUCCUGAAAGUGUACAGACCAGGUUCACUUGAUCAGAUGUGGAAUGUGGAUGGCAGCAGGAACUAAA